rnacentral:rRNA from 1 species
AGUGAACGCUGGCGGUAGGCCUAACACAUGCAAGUCGAACGGCAGCACAGUAAUAGCUUGCUCUUACGGGUGGCGAGUGGCGGACGGGUGCGGAAUACAUCGGUAUCUACUUUUUCGUGGGGGCUAACGUAGGGAAACUUACGCUAAUACUGCAUACGGACUACGUGUGAAAGCAGGGGAUCUUCGGACCUUGCGCGAUUGAAUGAGCCGAUGUCGGAUUAGCUAGUUGGCGGGGUAAAGGCCCACCAAGGCGACGAUCCGUAGCUGGUCUGAGAGGAUGAUCAGCCACACUGGAACUGAGACACGGUCCAGACUCCUACGGGAGGCAGCAGUGGGGAAUAUUGGACAAUGGGCGCAAGCCUGAUCCAGCCAUACCGCGUGUGUGAAGAAGGCCUUCGGGUUGUAAAGCCCUUUUGGUUGGAAAGAAAAGCAGCAGGUUAAUACCCCGCUGUUCUGACGGUACCAAAAGAAUAAGCACCGGCUAACUUCGUG